ensembl:lncRNA
UGGGGGAGGGGAGCAGGGGUGAGGAUGGAGAGCAAAUGCCAUCCUCGUUGUUUUUUUGUUUUUGUUUUUUUGUUUUUACACAAUAGAGGCCUGCCCCGGAGGCUAAAUGACCCAGUAACACACAAACAGCAAAACAAAGGCUGAGUCAGGACCUGGCUGGGUCUCAGGCCUUACCCCCAGAGCAGCUACUUCCUCCUAAAUACCUCUAAGCCCUCAUAUCUUGGGCCUUUAGUUUUAGCACCUGGGCUGCCAUGCUUUUGCUCCUAGUUACGCUGUUUCCACCACCUCCAUCUGGGGAUCUCUGUGGAAGUGAAACCGCACCGCAGAUGGGACUCAAGCCCUAUUGUGCCUCAGAUGGGACUUGAACCUACAAUCUUUAGCUUAGGAAAGGGGUUUGAACCCCAAAUCUCCCAGCUGAAACUGCAUACGUCGUCUCAGGACUUAAAGAAGCUCAGGUUCUUUGAGUCUUGGCGAGAAAGAAUUCGCAACAUCUAGAUGAGUGUAUGAGUGAAGAACUGGGAGAACUGCUGGUAUACCAUGAGCACAGAGGUCCUGGAACAUAGUGAGAACCAGCACCCCGCCCCCCACCGCCCCGGCUGCCAAGAUUUUUGAAUGAGUUAUUCAAUCAUGUAG